GAAACUGAAUUUUUAAUUUUGUUUGAGACUGGGCACAGUGGCUCACGCCUGUAAUCCUGACACUUUGGGAGGCCGAAGCAGGAGGAUUGCUUGAAUCCAGGAGUACGAGACCACCCUGGGCAACAUGGUGAAAUCCUGCCUCUAAAAAAAAAACAAAGUAACGAGCCCAGCGAGGUUAUGCAUACCUGUAGUCCCAGCUACGUGAGAGGCUGAGGUGGGAGGAAUCCCUUGAGCCAAGGAGGUCGUGCGUGGCUGUGAUGAUCUGUGAUCGUGCCGCUAAAUUCUAGCCUGGGCAACAGAGCGAGACCCUGUCUCAAAAAAAAAAAAAAAAAAAAAAAAACCUUAAGAUUUUUUUUUGGAGUCAGGGUCUCGCUGUGUCGCCCAGGCUGGAGCACAGUGGUGUAACUAUAGCUCACUGCAGUGUUGAACUUCUGGGCUCAAACAAUCUUCCUGCCUUGGCCUCCCCAAAUGCUGAGAUUAUAGGAGUGAGCCACUCUGCCCAACUACUUUUAAUUAAAUAGCCACAUGUGUCUCCUGUAUUGACAGUACCACUGUGUAUUAAGAGUAUGAGUCCCAGAUUGUGUAAGUUCAAAUCCAAGCUCUACCACUUCUCGGCUGGCUUGUGAUCCUGUGCAAGUUACUUUACCUCUCAGUGCCUCGGUUUCUACAUUUAUAAAAUAAUAACUGGGCAGGCACAGUGGCUCAUGGCUGUCAUCCCAACACUUCAGGAGGCCGAGGUGGGAGGAUCGCCUGAGGCCAGGAGUUGGAGAGCAGCCUGGGCAACAUGGGAAGAGCCUGUCUCUUGCGGGGGGGGGAGAAGAAAGUUCUUGUCUCAGGCUAGCUUUGGGGACCAAAUGAAGCACUCCCAUGUAGGCACUCAAAUGGAACUAUGUAAACCUUAGGCAAGGCACCUCUGCCUCAGUUUCCUCAUCUCUAAAAUGGGGUGAUGGUAGUAUGUUAGCAGAGUGGUUGUGAGGAGUGAACGGGACAGUCCGUAUGUGGGUUAUAUGUAUAUAUUCCCAGGUGCUUGCUGUUACCAGGCCAUAUGGGUUAUUCACAGAUUGAAAUAUCUUAGCUGGGCACGGUGGCUCACCCCUAUAAUCCCAGCACUUUGGGAGACCGAGGCGGGUGGAUCACCUGAGGUCAGGAGUUCGAGACCAGCCUGGCCAACAUGGUGAAACCCUGUCUCUACUAAAAAAAUACAAAUAAAUUAGCUGGGCAUGGUGGUGGGUGCCUGUAAUCCCAGCUACUUGGGAGGCUGAGGCAGGAGAAUCGAUUAAACCCAGGAGGCAGAGGUUGCAGUGAGCUGAGAUCACACCAUUGCACUCCAGCCUGGGCGACAGAGUAAGGCUCUGUCUCCAAAAAAAAAAAAAAAAAAAAACAAAAAAAAAACCAGUUUGACUUUAUCUCCCUCGCCCUGCCUCCAUCCCCACAUUGCCCCCCACUAUCCCAGUCUCUCCUACUCCAGCCUUCAUCUAGUGCUAACUGAUUAAAUAUUCUAAGAUGACCUUCUCUGGUGUGUGUGAUGAUAAUUAAAAGGCAUUCAGAACUGUGUGGACCAGACUGAACCUCUGCACUCUAGAUUUUUUUUUUUUUGAAGCCUCUACAAAGGAUAAUUAAAAUUUACACCAUGACUCUUUGUCCUGGGGUGCACUGUCUGUAAGCCGGUGGAGUUAUUUCCCAAAAUCCUUGGUCCUUCCCAGCUUGAGGAAGUCUGCAGGACUGAGGGAGGGGACCUGUGCUUUUUUUUUUGUUUUUUUGAGAUGGAGUCUCUGUUGCCCAGGCUGGAGUGCAGUGGGGCGAUCUCGGCUCACUGCACCCUGCACCUCCUGGGUUCAAGUGAUUCUCCUGCCUCAGGCUCCCAAGUAGCUGGGAUUACAGGCGUGUGCCACUGUCAGGCCUCUGAGCCCAAGCCAAGCCAUCGCAUCCCCUGUGCCUUGCACAUAUACACCCAGAUGGCCUGAAGUAACUGAAGAAUCACAAAAGAAGUGAAAAGGCCCUGCCCCGCCUUAACUGAUGACAUUCCACCAUUGUGAUUUGUUCCUGCCCCACCUUAACUGAGUGAUUAACCCUGCAAAUUUCCUUCUCCUGGCUCAGAAGCACCCCCACUGAGCACCUUGCGACCCCCCACUCCUGCCCGCCCUUUGACUGUAAUUUUCCAUUACCUUCCCAAAUACUAUAAAACAGCCCCACCCCUAUCUCCCUUCGCUGACUCUUUUCGGACUCAGCCCACCUGCACCCAGGUGAAAUAAACAGCUUUAUUGCUCACAC
rnacentral:lncRNA from 1 species